AAGGUUCUUGAACGCUCUAAAACCACCUCCCAACAUUACAAACGGGUGACGAAACCCUAAACAGAUCGAGCGAAGAAGAGAACGCAGGAGAAAAUGUCGCACUUCGGGAGAACUGGCCCGCCGGACAUCGCUGAUACUUACUCUCUCCUCGUGCUCAACAUCACUUUCCGUACCUCGGCGGAUGAUCUCUUUCCUCUUUUCGACAAGUAUGGGAAGGUUGUGGAUAUCUUCAUUCCCCGGGACAGAAGGACCGGUGAGUCACGUGGAUUUGCGUUUGUUCGUUACAAGUAUGCAGAGGAAGCACAAAAGGCUGUAGAUAGGCUUGAUGGAAGAGUGGUUGAUGGACGGGAAAUGGCUGUUCAAUUCGCCAAAUAUGGGCCAAAUGCAGAACGAAUUCACCAAGGGAGGAUCAUUGAGAAAGUUCCUGGCUUCAAGGGAAGCUCAAGAAGCAGAAGCCCUCGUAGAAGAUACCGUGAUGACUAUCACAGAGAUAGAGAAUACAGGAGAAGUAGGAGCAGAAGUGUUGAUCGCUAUGAGCGUGAUAGAUAUCGGCAGAGAGAGCGGGUCUAUCGCCAUCGGUCCAGGAGCCGCAGCUUAAGUCCAGACUAUGAUCGAGAUCGUGGCAGGGGACGGGACAGAAAACAUCAUAGGCGGAGCCCAUCAGUUGACAGUGCCUCCCCAUCUCGGCGUAGCCCCAGUCCUCACAGGAAAGAGUCUCCUCCUAGAAGCUUAUCACCCACAAAAGGAAGUCCUGUGAGGCGUGUUCGCAAUGAACGCUCUCCAACUCCUCGAAGUCGUUCGCCUCCAGGUCGAGCAAUGGAUUCACGAAGCCCUUCUCCUCGUGUUGAUGAGGAUUAGUUUUCUGGUGGCAUAAUACGAGAACAAGCAGACAAGUGCAUCAACAACUUUAGCUUUCUACUGAAUGUGUUGAAACACAAAAUGUGGUGCAAUUUCUAGGCAGAAUAUUAGCUGACAUUUUGUUAUGAUCGAGAGAAGGUUGGUGAGGUUGAUAUCAGAUGAUGAUGAUGGUGAUAUGGCUGUCAACCCUCAUAACUAUAGUUAGUUCGUGAAAUUUGAGGAGGCUGAUUGGUAGAUUGUGUGUUGAUUGACAGUGCUGAUGGUUUAGCUGUUGACAUGCAGCUUCUGAUGCUGUUUGUAGUUAAAUGUAUUUGCAAUGCAUGAACAGCAGAUGCUGGCUGGAGAUUUUCUCUGUGCACCCGUGUAUAAUUUAUUGGGUAAGACUUUUCUCCGGUCGAGAGCUCACAAGUCUCACCAUGUUUUCAUCCAUAGAAAAGGAGCUGAUCACAUUCUUAUAUUAAGUAUAAAAUAAGCUUCAUCCAAGGAUUAGUUUUCCCAAAGAAUGUAACUUCUCUUUCUAGCUAGUUCUUUUCCUUUUUUUUUGGGGUAGUCUUUUUGCCAAGUUUGGUGCAUAUAAAUUGUCUCUAAAAAGGGAUCGGACGCAACUGGAGAUGUAGGAUGGACAGAGGAUGAAUCUACCUCUGUGCCUGAUGCUGCUAGUGAGGUGUCCCAUUAGCAAAGCUGAUGCUAGUUGUUGCACAUGCUGGCAUGUGGUCUAUUUUGCCCCCAACGUGCAUGACUGAUGAGAAAUAUCAUACCCUAGUUGUGAUGCUUUUGUUGACAUUUUCUUGCUCGUUGAUCGUGAUUGUAGCUGAAUGAAAGGCUGGUUCAUUGUCCGUUCAAACAUCCUUUUAGCUUCUGGGUGCCUCUGAUCUUCCAGAACUUCACUUGAUCUUAUGUUAUACUUUAUGUGGCUGAUGGUCUCCUUGGUGAUUCAGCUUCAGUGCGUUUUAUUUUUGGUGUUUGUGGUGUUCAAUGUUGCUCUACCAGGUCAAGGUUAUUGCAGCUUCUAUCUUUAAACCGUAAAAACCAACGACUUUGUUGGUUGAAGAAUCCCUCAACUAUACCCUUUGGUCUAAUAGGCUGUGGGGGUCUCUGGAAUAGUUGAAUAUAGAUGAGGUUGGUACUACCUAUGUGUUUUGUGCAUCUCAAUGUUUGUUUUAUUAGUAACAAUAUACACAAUAGGCAGUGACUGGGCAUUGCUGAAGGUUAAAGCUGUGGUUGACUUUUACAACUUCUUUGUAGUGCUGUAAAAUAUUGGUCAAAAGAGUGGAUUUUGUCUGCGGAUUCUAUCCAGCAUCAUCUCGUUCUACUGUUGCCGCUUGAGUUGUGGUUAGUAGUGUUUACCAUUGUGCAGUUUGACCAUGUAUAGCUAUGCUUCCAAUUCCUGCAGUUGCACGUUUAUUUGUACACACCUCGUUUUGUUCUAUAGUUUUGGGUUUGAUUAGACAUCUGAUAUAUCUUAUGUAGUCUGUAAUGUCAGUUGGUCGUAUGGUGCUCAUAUUGGGCAAGGUAUGAGUCCCUGAUUUUUGGAGAAAACCAUCUCAACUAGGAAAAUAGUAUGUUGAUUAUGGAUCUCUGGCUGUCUCUCUGCUGUUAAUUUAUUUCAAUCUACUUUAUUCGACCUUCCGA